UUCCCUUUGGGAACUCCGGAGGGGUGAUUACCAGGUUUACAAAUCAUCUACCCGGUGGACAAAACCUAAAACGUUUCUUCGGGGGGACAAAAAGGCCCCGUAAAACCGGGCGCCCCCCGCAGAGGAACCCCCCCACUCUGUGUCUAUAAAAGUUUUUUUUGGGUAACCAGCCCGAUUAAAUUGAACUUCAUAAACCGAUCUCUUGGGUCUCGGAUUGGUGUAGGACGCAGCGAAAUACGAUAAGUAAUGUGAACUGCAGAAUUUCAGUGAAGCAUCGAAUCUUUGAACGCACAAUGCGCCCGCCAGUAUUCUGGCGGGCAUGCCUGUUCGAGCGUCAUUACAACCGCUCAGGCCCCCGGACCUGGCAUUGGGGAUCGGCGGAAGCCCACUGCGGGCACAACGCCGUCCCCCAAAUACAAUGGCGGUCCCGCCGCAGCUUCCAUUGCGUAGUAGCUAACACCACGCAACUGGAGAACGGCGCGCCCACGCCGUAAAACACCCAACUUCUGAAUGCGGACCUCGAAUCAGGGAGGAAUACCCGCUGAACUUAAGCAUAUCANUAGCCGGGAGGAG
rnacentral:rRNA from 1 species